rnacentral:rRNA from 1 species
GACGAACGCUGGCGGCGUGCUUAACACAUGCCAGUCGAACGGUGAAGCGCCUUCCUUUUUGGUGGGUGUGGAUGAGUGGCGAACGGGUGAGUAACACGUGAGUAACCUGCCCCCUUCUUCUGGAUAACCGCAUGAAAGUGUGGCUAAUACGGGAUAUUCUGGGUCUGUCGCAUGAUGGGUCUGGGAAAGAUAUUGUUUCGGUGGGGGAUGGGCUCGCGGCCUAUCAGCUUGUUGGUGGGGUGAUGGCCUACCGAGGCGGUGACGGGUAGCCGGCCUGAGAGGGUGGACGGUCACACUGGGACUGAGACACGGCCCAGACUCCUACGGGAGGCAGCAGUGGGGAAUAUUGCACAAUGGGCGCAAGCCUGAUGCAGCGACGCCGCGUGAGGGAUGGAGGCCUUCGGGUUGUGAACCUCUUUCGCCAGUGAAGCAGGCCUGCCUCGUUUGUGGGUGGGUUGACGGUAGCUGGAGAAGAAGCGCCGGCUAACUACGUG